GGGCGAAUGGUCUAGGGGUAUGAUACUCCCUUCGCAUCUGAGAUCUUCAGAAUUACGUGAUUGGGAGGGGUCCGGGGUUCAAUUCCCCGUUCGUCCA